rnacentral:lncRNA from 1 species
AUUUAGUGAAUACCAAAUUUUAGCAAUAACUAUUUCUAAAUUACUUAAUGAAUAAUUAUGUCCUACUAUUUUGCUAUUAUGAAAUAUUAAUAGAUACAGUACAGUAUAUACAUAAAUGAUUAAAUAUGCUUACCUUGCUUUGUUUGUGGGAAAUCCAAAAAGAGACACUUCGUUUGUUUUGGCUUCUUCUCUGCACAAAAUGCACAUUCUUUUUCUUUGAUUCUCCAUCUCUUCAAUUAAUAAAGAUGAAAUUGAAAAAUGUAAUUCAAAUUUCUUUUGUGCGAAAAAGCAAAUAUAGAAACAAUGAUAGCAUGUGGAUUGGAUGUCUGAUCUAUGGUUAGCACAUGGGUAUAAUGAUGCAAUAUUGAAAAGUCAUCAUUACAUAAUUCUAUUUCAUUCAGAAAUAUUACACAUUGUAUGCUAAUUAUUAAUAAAUAAAAAGUUAAUUAUUUGGUAAAGUUAUAAAAAAUAUAACUCUGUUAGAUAGCACUACGAUCUAUUUGUGACAUACAUGUUUCCAGUCAUGUGGGAUAGCUUCCCAUCUUUGUCUAAUCUGUGAAUUCAAACAUGGCGGCAAGAAAUAUCUAGACGAUCCCUGGAGGUGAGUUGGCAAUACUUUUUCUCCCAGAAAAUUAUGUAAAUUUGCAAUUAACCAGUACAUAAUAGUUUUUUUGAAGU